GGCUUUAUAGUCAAAAUAAUGAUAUUAGAUUGCAAGUCUAAAGGUGUAAUUUACUAAAGCUU
rnacentral:tRNA from 1 species